GAUGAAGAACGUAGCGAAAUGCGAUACCUGGUGUGAAUUGCAGAAUCCCGCGAACCAUCGAGUCUUUGAACGCAAGUUGCGCCCGAGGCCACCCGGCCGAGGGCACGCCUGCCUGGGCGUCACGCCAAAACACGCUCCCACCCCCCCUCACCGGGGGAGCGGGACGCGGCGUCUGGCCCCCCGUGCCGCGAGGCGCGGUGGGCCGAAGAUCGGGCUGCCGGCGUACCGUGCCGGGCGCAGCGCGUGGUGGAUCUCUACUCGGCGCAGUGCACCCGGCGCGUAGCCGGCGCAGCGGCCCCUAAGGACCCAACGAACGGAGCGCGAGCCGCUCCGACCGCGACCCCAGGUCAGGCGGGACUACCCGCUGAGUUUAAGCAUAUCAAUAAGCGGAGGA
rnacentral:misc_RNA from 1 species